GGAGCAGUGAGGCACAACAGAACGAUUUCCUCAGUAGCCGUGGUGGAGGUAAAACGUGUGUGCGCGGUGUCUCUGCCUAGUCACUAGUGCCUUGUCACCACUUUGAGUAAUUGGUUGUGCGUUGGUGUGGUGCCAUUCCUCUCGUGGCGUUGCUGUGUGUCGGUAAGUGUGUACAACAAGGGACAAUGUGGGGUCAUGCCGGCCGUCCCCUGAACAUGGGCAAACAAGUCUCGGGCGUCAAUCAGGAAAUGAGCACGUUUCGUCGCAAGUCUGGCGCCGGCGUCCUUACAUCUGUGCACUACCAACUUGGUAAAGCCACAUCAUUUUCACACGAGCGAACUCGUCAGCCACAGCGGCGCUACAGUUAGACCUGUACCCGCCCAGGUGUCGGAGAAGCUAAGCAUCCUCCUCUUCCUCUCUGUCCAUGUGAUAAGUGUAACUCCAGGUCCGCUUCUUCAGAAGAGGACGCAGACCGCUUUGGCACAGGUCCUGCCACUACUGAAGGGAGAGCCAAACCAGCGUGUCCUGGCAACCUGCGGCAGGAAACUCAGUUCUUGAAGUGGAAGGCGCCAACUGUCCCUCUGCACCAUCCACGGAGGAGUAGGACCCUGCCUCGCGCCAACUUGUGGUGCCGUCCAGGGAAGGAGGACACUGCCUCCCUGCACCUUCCACGGAGGAAUUGGACCCUGCCUUGCGCGAACUUGUGGUGCCGUCCUGGGAAGGACAUUGCCUCCCUGCACCUUCCACGGAAGAAUUUGACCCUCCCCGGACAACGUGGUAUCAUCCAGGGAGGGAGGACACACUACCUCGCAGCAGCUUCCACGGAGGAAUUUGACCCUGCCCGGACUACGUGGUAUCAUCCAGGGGGGGAGGACACACUGCCUUGCUUCAUCUAACCUAGCCAAUAAAUGUUCCCAAUCACUCUUGUAAUGUUAUCCCUUCCAUCUUAUGUGAAUGUAUGUACAUAACCAACACAUGUUUCCAAUUACUCUUGUAAUGUUUUUAAUCCUUCCAUCUAAUGUGUAUGUGUGCACGAAAAUGUGAUGUUAGUAUUCCUUCCAUGUUUUGUGAUGUACCCACACCACUGAUAGUGCUUAAUAAAUUAUGAUUAAGAAAA